CUGUGCACAUUGUUCUGAAAACAUUCAAAUAACCUCAUAAAAUAACGUUAUUUUUUGGUGAAUUAGAACUUUUACAUAACAUUCCCCUGUGGUUCCCGUUUGGUUGUUGGAAGAAAAAAGUUCUGGGAACGUUCUGGAAACGUUGCAUAUCUAAGGCCGUAUUGGAUCAAACUGCUGAAAGAGAAGAUAAAGUGUUUGUGGAGCUUGCUUGGACAGUUUCCCCACCUGCACCAUCUCCAUUUUGUUCAGAAGUCUACUAGUAAAAGAUGGAGCAAUUGUGGGACACCACCACUUGUGAACACCUACUCAACCUCUAAGGUGUGUAUUGCUAAUGGACCAAAAAAGGUAACCCCAAAAAAGUUCAACUGUGAACGACCCGACAAGACAUGGAAAAUGCAACGGCCAGAAUUCUGGAGACCACAGCUGUCUCCCCGCUUUCCAAUGAUGGAUUCCAAAUGAUCGUGCUGAUGAAGCUGGAAACAAUUAUCGAGAACCAGUUGGAACUCCUAGCAAUUCAGCUGCUAGCCGCUGGAGCACAAGAUCUGCCAGACCAAGUCCUGCCUAGACCUUGAACGACCAAGGAGGAUUUGGAGGACCUCUGCAAGAGUCUGGAGGAGGCCACCACAUAACGAAAAGAGAUGGUUACAGAGAGGGUUGAAGAGGAGGUUGUGGAGGAGUGAGCCCUUGACUCCCCUGUACCAUAGACGGUGGUCAGACAAGACAAUUGUGUAAUCCGUGUGUGUGUGCCAAUCAGAUUGCAGAUGUCUGAAUUGUUGGCAAAAAUUAUAAAUGUGUUAACUGUUAAUAUAUUUUAUUUUGUACGAUUUUAUAACUUUUUCAAACAAUACAAAACAUGCACAUACCAAUUACAGCAUACAGACGCACACAAACAUCAAUGACAUAACACCUGGCCAGACCCACCUGCUCACACCUCAUCCAUCUCCAGCGCCCGCAUCACUCUCCGCCACAUGGCCUCAAACUGUACCAUUUUGUUUUACUCUGUCACCAACGCAUUUUCAACAUUUUAGAUAAUAUAGUAUUUGACUCUUCCAUUGUGUUAGUGAUGGAGGAUUGGUUGAUUUCCAGUUAAGUGUGCAUUUUUUUCAAGAUGAUUGAUGAAAGGUAUCAUUCAACCCAUCGGGUAUCUCACUGCUCACUCAUAUGCCAUGUCUUGAAAUAUUCAGACAGACGGAUUAAACUUACAUUUACAUUGUGAUACUUCUGACAGACAACUUUCUAACUCUGCCCAUAACUUUUAGACUUCAUAGCAUCCACAGAAGGCAUGGAUUAUUGUUAGUUUUACGCUUAAGACAUGACUCCGCCGUUGUGCUGUAGUAUGUGAUUUUUCUCUUUGUAUAAUACAUUCUAUACAUUAGUUUAUACUGGAUUAAGUGUACAUUUUUGUUAUUGGUGUCCCUAUAACGGGAGGUUGAGAUAAUGUAUGCUAAUGUAAUUAGCAUGCCAUUGUAAGUAACAGCAAACUUUCCAGGACAUAGACAUGUGUAAAUUCUUGUUAAUCUAACUGCGCU